rnacentral:rRNA from 1 species
AGCCUGGACUGAGGUCCGCGCAUCUGCUAGGAUGCUGGCGUAAUGGCUGUAAGCGGCCCGUCUUGGAACACGGACCAAGGAGUCUAACAUCUAUGCGAGUGUUUGGGUGUCAAGCCCGAACGCGUAAUGAAAGUGAACGGAGGUGGGAACCUUUCGGGGUGCACCAUCGACCGAUCCUGAUGUCUUCGGAUGGAUUUGAGUAAGAGCAUAGCUGUUGGGACCCGAAAGAUGGUGAACUAUGCUUGAAUAGGGUGAAGCCAGAGGAAACUCUGGUGGAGGCUCGCAGCGGUUCUGACGUGCAAAUCGAUCGUCAAAUUUGGGCAUAGGGGCGAAAGA